GGGCUCACACAAGCGGUGGAGGAUGUUGUUUAAUUCGAAGCAACGCGAAGAACCUUACCCGGGUUUGACAUGCUAGUAACGACCCUGAAAGGGGAAGAAUCUCCUUAACCGGAGAAGCUAGCACAGGUGCUGCAUGGCUGUCGUCAGCUCGUGUCGUGAGAUGUUGGGUUAAGUCCCGUAACGAGCGAAACCCCUGUCGUUAGUUGCUACCAGGUAAUGCUGGGCACUCUAGCGAUACUGCCGGUGUUAAACCGGAGGAAGGCGGGGACGACGUCAAGUCAUCAUGGUCCUUACGUCCGGGGCGACAAACGUCCUACAAUGGCAGGUACAAUGAGAAGCAAAACCGCGAGGUCAAGCAAAUCUCCAAAGCCUGCCUCAGUUCAGAUUGGAGGCUGAAACCCGCCUCCAUGAAGGUGGAAUCGCUAGUAACCGGAGAUCAGCCAUGCUCCGGUGAAUAUGUUCCUGAGCCUU
rnacentral:rRNA from 1 species